GAUCCUGGCUCAGGAUGAACGCUAGCGAUAGGCCUAACACAUGCAAGUCGAGGGGCAGCAUAGAGUAGCAAUACUUGAUGGCGACCGGCGCACGGGUGAGUAACACGUAUGCAACCUACCUACAUCAGGGGAAUAACCCGGAGAAAUUCGGACUAAUACCGCAUAAUACAGGGAUGCCGCAUGGCAAUAUUUGUUAAAGAUUUAUCGGAUGUAGAUGGGCAUGCGUUCCAUUAGCUGGUUGGUAAGGUAACGGCUUACCAAGGCAACGAUGGAUAGGGGAACUGAGAGGUUUGUCCCCCACACUGGAACUGAGACACGGACCAGACUCCUACGGGAGGCAGCAGUGAGGAAUAUUGGUCAAUGGACGAGAGUCUGAACCAGCCAAAUCGCGUGAAAGGAAGACUGCCCUACGGGUUGUAAACUUCUUUUGUACAGGAAUAAAAGACAUUACGUGUAAUGUAUUGCAUGUACUGUACGAAUAAGCAUCGGCUAACUCCGUGCCAGCCGCCGC
rnacentral:rRNA from 1 species